GCCCGGGUGGCGAAACUGGUAGACGCAAGGGACUUAAAAUCCCUCGGCCGCAAGGCCGUGCUGGUUCGAAUCCGGCCCCGGGCA
rnacentral:tRNA from 1 species